rnacentral:tRNA from 1 species
UCCGGUAUAGUACAGGGGUUAGUAUAUCAGUCUUUCACAUUGAAGACCGGGGUUCGAGUCCCCGUAUCGGAA